CUUGGGUGUGGUGGUGGCACCUGUGGUCCCAGCUCCUUGAAAGGCAGAGGCAGAAGGACCCGCUGAGCUCAGGAGUGCCGGCAGAGAGAGCAUCGUGCUAGUUGGGGUCCACAUGAAGUCUGGCAUCAAGAUGGUGCCCUCCUGGGAGUAGGUGACCACCAUGUUGUCUAAGGAGAGGUGAACCAGCCCACACCGGAAACAGAGAAGGUCAAAACUCCCAAGCUAAUCAGUUGUGAGAAGCCUGUGACUCGUCACUGCACUCCAGCCUGGGCAACACAGUGUGACCCUUUCUAU
rfam:Mustela putorius furo unplaced genomic scaffold scaffold00132, whole genome shotgun sequence.